rnacentral:rRNA from 1 species
UUUCGCAAUGCCCGAAAGGGUGACGAAGCGACGCCGCGUGUGGGAAGAAGGCCUUCGGGUUGUAAACCACUGUCGGGAGUUAGGAAAUGCAGGUGCGUUAAUAGCGCACUUGCUUGACUAAGGCUCCAGAGGAAGCCACGGCUAACUCUGUGCCAGCAGCCGCGGUAAUACAGAGGCGGCAAGCGUUGUUCGGAAUUAUUGGGCGUAAAGAGCACGUAGGCGGCCUUGCAAGUCAGUUGUGAAAGCCUUCCGCUUAACGGAAGAACGGCAUCUGAUACUACAGGGCUUGAGUACGGGAGGGGAGAGUGGAACUUCUGGUGGAGCGGUGAAAUGCGUAGAUAUCAGAAGGAACGCCGGCGGCGAAAGCGGCUCUCUGGCCCAUAACUGACGCUGAGUGUGCGAAAGCUAGGGGAGCAAACGGGAUUAGAUACCCCGGUAGUCCUAGCCGUAAACGAUGGGCACUAAGUAGAGGGGUUUU